rnacentral:rRNA from 1 species
GACAGAGGUCCCGAGCGUUAGGCGGAAUCACUGGGCUUAAAGCGUGUGUAGGCGGCGGCCUAAGUACCUUGUGAAAUCCCACGGCUCACCCGUGGAACUGCUCGGUAUACUGGGUCGCUUGAGCCACUUAGGGGCUACCGGAACAAAUGGUGGAGCGGUGAAAUGCGUAGAUAUCAUUUGGAACGCCAAUGGUGAAAACAGGUAGCUGGGAGUGUGCUGACGCUGAGACACGAAAGCCAGGGGAGCGAACGGG